rnacentral:rRNA from 1 species
UUUAUUUAUUUUAUUAUAAUUGUUUUUUGUUAGUUUAUUUUUUAAUAAAAGAAAUUUUAUUUAUUAUUUUGUCUUAGUAUAUUUUAUAGAAUUGAUUAUUUUUAUUAUAGUUUAAUAGUAAUGUAAUUGGAUUAUGAAAUAAUUUUUUAAUUAUCAAAAAGUAGAUUUAAUUUGUUGUACCUUUUGUAUCAGGGUUUAUUAAAUUUUUAGUAUUUAUUUACUAAUCUCGAUUUAGGUUGAUUUACAAAUAAAUUAAAGUUAAUGUGUCAUAAUUAUUUUUAAUUUAUUUGUAGAAAUGAAAUGUUAAUCGUUUCCUAAUAUAUCUAGUUUCUUAAGAAAAAAUUUAAUUUUUUAAAGUUAAUAGCUUUUAUUUACUUUUUUAUAUAGAAAUGUUAACUUAUUUAUUCUUUAGGGGAUAAGCUCUAGAGUUUUCCUAUAAUUUUAUUAAUUUUGAUUUAAUAGUAAGCUUUAAACCAGCUAUCUUUUUGAUUACGUUUUAGUUCAUUAUUUAUUAUUUUGAUUUUAUAAAUAUUUUAGGUUUUAUAUUAAGAUUAUUAAUUUAAUUUUUAAAUUAUUGUAAUAAUGAUAGAAUUAGUAUAUAUAUUUAUUGUUUAUAAUAUUUUAUUAUGUUAAUUUAUUAUAAGGAAUUAGGCAAAAUUGAUUUCCGCCUGUUUAUCAAAAACAU